UACUCAUCUGCCUAUUCCCCAAUUCAACGCAUUUGACUCAACCAUUGGAUGUAAGUUUUUUCGGGCCAAUGAAAACACGGAGGACUCAUUGUUAGAUUUCCGAUGUAAACACGGAAUAAGUGCCAUCACGAAGUCAGAAAUUUGCCCAACAGCUCUCGAUAAUUUCGAUAGUAAGGAGCAAGUAAUUGAAAGUGGAUUUCAAAAGAGCGGUUUGUACCCAUGGAAGAAGCUGUAAACUUUGCUUCAAUGUCGGCAAACUUAUCGACUCUCGAUGAACAUAAUGGUAUUUUUGCAGAACCAAUUCAGGCCGGGUCUACCCCGUAUGGCAUAAUGCCAUUUGGCAUAAUGCCGUUUGGCAUACAGUCGUUUGGCAUAACAGUUGUUUGGCAUAAUGGUCGUUUGGCAUAAUUUGGAAAAGGAAGAUGCUGCAGUGGUACAGUAAUAUGCGGGACCAUAAGAUGCGUCAUAAAAUACCAUGUUCCAUUUUUUCCAAAUGACAUGGAAUAACUUAGGCGUUGGAUACAUUUUUGUUAAAAAUGCACUAUACUAUCCCGGACAUGAUUACUCCGAAAGUCAUGUAUGAUGCAAUUCCCAAAGAGUUUAAUUGGAUAUUGGUUUCCUUGAAAAAAAAUGAAGAUUUGAAGUAUGUCCUAUCAAUAACUGACAACGGGAUGUACGAUCGUGAGCAGUUUAUCCUCACCCCUUUGCUUAAAGGAACGAAUUUUAUCAAAUUCAAUGUUUUUCACAAUUAUGCCAAACGGCCAUUAUGCCAAAUGGCGAUUAUGCCAAACGACCGUUAUGCCAAAUGGCAUUAUGCCAAACAGCUAUUAUGCCAAACGACUGUAUGCCAAACGGCAUUAUGCCAUACGGCAUUAUGCCAAACGGGGUAGACCCUUCAGGCCGAUAAGGCCGAUACUAGAUUUUUCGACGUGUUUGAAGCACGCCUUUCAGAAGAUCAACUAAGAGAAUUCCGCAAACAGGAUGACUUUAGGCAGUGGCAUGGAGCAAAGGAAGAAACUAAUUUGUUUCACUUUUGGAAAAAAUGGAAACGUGAGUUUGAAGGAGAAACUCACAUCGAAAGUGACGAUGAGAGCGAUUUUAUGGGAUUUCCAGAAGUUGGACAACACACCUUGCCGAUCAGUGAGGAAUCGAGCGUGUCGAUUGUUGCCCUAGAAGAUUCUGCAGGUGCGACUAACGCUCAAGAUUCUAUAAAUACUAGUUCGUCUGGAAUGGACCCUACUUCAAGUUGUGCGGUAGAUGAAGUGUUUCAAAGCGUUUUUCCAUUUCCGAAGGAAAUGCAGAAAUUUCACGAAUCAUCACGCACUAAAAGAAAUUUUCGCCUUCCUGCGGUAGCGACAAGUCAGACUUUUAUUGCAUACCUGAAUGCGAAAGAGCAAGAAAAAAAGCAAUUGAAUGCGAGAAAACUCAAAAACAGGUUCUGAGAAGAAGAAAAAGGAACAGGAAA